GUCCAGGGAUGGGAAUCAAACCCACAGUGUUCCGCUUACCGGGCAGAUGCCAUGUCCACUAGGCUACCCUGGA
rnacentral:tRNA from 1 species